UCUACUGCUGGAGAACGAGUCUGUGUGAUUGGUUCAAGCUUUGCUCCAAUUUUUUGUUCACAUCUCAUGUUAUUGAGCAUUGUGUAACUAGAAAGUCAGUAGAAAUGUAGUACAGUAAAUGCAAUACAGAUAACACUUAAAAAACUCAAUUGUGAACCCUUCAGUUAUCAUUAACUCCCACGAGUUGCCCCAUUUACUCAAUCAAGCAGUCCCAUCGGAGUCGAUGUUUACCAACCAGGAGCAAAGGCUCACAAGGGUAACCAGGGAGACCUGCCUCAUUCUGUAUUCAAGAUGAACAGCGAUUAAGGAAUAUGGAAAAACUGAGACAAGCAAGACUUUGGUGCAUCAGUGGCAGAAUCAGGAUUAGAAUUCAUGACCUCGACUCCCAACUCUGCUCAUUCCUCCAGAUCACACUUCUGGAGCUUCCUACUUCUGAAACAAACGAGGCAGGAGACCGACAAACAGCAUCGUUCACUGCACAGCCCUGCUUCACCCCAAAAGCAGGUCCAUCUUGAAUGAGGUAGAAGUCCUCUGCAGCAAAACAGGGUUUAAUCAUGCAAUUAAAACACUAUAUCAUGAUGCACAAGGGGGCUGAAUUAAGAUUGCACUGGCAACUUGGGUGCUUGAUUUUGCAAC